AAUUCCCAAUCUGGAAUUCAACGCUGUUUGGAGAAGAAAGCUAGAAAGGAGGAAUGGAGUAGGGAGGCCCAAAGAGAGAGAAGCAGAGGAAACAGAGGAGAGCACACAGGAAGGUAGGGAGGCAGGGAGCAAGGAAGAGGGACAGGGAGGAGGGAGAAGCACUGUGGGAGUUCGGCAUGCAGGCAAAGUAGAAGAGCAGUCCAGACAGGAAAUACAAAGUCCAGCGAGGUGGACAAGACCGGCCUCGUCAUGUGUAGGGUCCAGCACAAAGCAGAAAUACAAGAAUUUCAAGAGAGCUACCAUCGCCAGACAUUGAACUGCUUGAGACAAUGCUGCUGAGCUCUGGCAGUCGGGUGGCGCUCAUCUCUGACGGUCCACACGUGGGUGCGAUGACAUCAUCAACAUGCGUGCCAGAGACGACACCAGCUUUGCUCACCAUGGAAGCCAGUUUUCCCAGAAGAGAACAGAGGCCGCCUAAGUGGGUUCUUCCAAAUUCAAUGUUGAUAUUAAGAAACGCUCACUGUGGGGCACAAGUUCUUUGAAAUGUUGCUUGGGGAAUGCUCGCUGAAGCUCUCAGCCAGCCCCAAACAAAGCUGCAGUGUGUAGAGGGCUGGACCCAUGCCUGCUAACUGAGGACCGAGACGCAGUUCCACCCAGGAGGUUGUUCCGGCAUCCAUUCCAGGAUUCCUCCAUGGUCUGACGGGUGAGUUGCGAUUGCCUCUGUCUGUGCUCAGGCACAUCUAAAGGACACCUGUACCUGGACAGUUGAUUGAGGAACAUUCUGGAUGUUAUGAUGUGGGGUGUGGCGGCAGUGAGCAUGAGCGUAUGAUCCCUGAUUUCUCUACAGAGAAACCGUAACUGGGCACUCAGAGGAGCUGAGGCACAGCGGACAGACAGUAAAACAGGAAACCCUUCAAGCAACUGCAAUGAAAACACUGGGUUCUUCCAUUUAGGAUGCUCUUCAAACAACAAAGACCACAAUCAAACUGGCUGAGACAGACACUGUGCAUUGAUUAACCCAAUUCCUAAUCCUUUUCUUCCUUGGCUGCCUUGUUAUAAAGGUCAGAAAAUCCAAAUUCCUGCCAUCUCAACGUCACUUGCCACUAGCGGAGGUCACUUGAUGGUCUAGCCAAUGAGUCUGGAAGCAACAACCCUUGCUUGUUUUAGUAAGAGGCUCUAACUUGGCUGAUGUUGAACAUAUUCCCAAUGUUCAAUGGCCAGUGUGAUUGA